rnacentral:misc_RNA from 1 species
GAUGAAGAACGAAGCGAAAUGCGAUACGUAAUGUGAAUUGCAGAAUUCAGUGAAUCAUCGAGUCUUUGAACGCACAUUGCGCCCCCUGGUAUUCCGGGGGGCAUGCCUGUCCGAGCGUCAUUGCUGCCCUCAAGCACGGCUUGUGUGUUGGGCCUCCGUCCUCCUCCCGGGGGACGGGCCCGAAAGGCAGCGGCGGCACCGCGUCCGGUCCUCGAGCGUAUGGGGCUUCGUCACCCGCUCUUGUAGGCCCGGCCGGCGCUUGCCGACACAUCAAUCUUUUUUCCAGGUUGACCUCGGAUCAGGCAGGGAUACCCGCUGAACUUAAGCAUAUCAAUAAGCGGAGGA